CUGGUGCGCAUGCGCGGUAGCGCUGACGUUACAGGGAAGCGACCGCUAACUUAAAACUUGCUUAACACAACGCUAAUGGACUACAUCAACGAGACGAUUCAAAAGACUUUCAUGUUACACUCAAGAAGAAAUCCUCAGAGAAUUCUUUGCCAUGAGGUGCCAUGUUGAACUUCCAGUGACCAGUAUGAGGGAGUGUGAGAGCGAUGACACCAAAUUUAACACACCUGCUCCCCAUUCACACCCGAGACCUUGUAACACUAACGAGUCACAUGACACCCGGGAGGGAAAAUGGCUAAUCAUUUACAAUAAUAUAUAUUCUUCACAUUGGAGCCACAGAAAACCAGUUCCUUUCAAAUGUAGAUUCAAGAUGUUGUGUGUCAUAUUAACAGCAGUUUAAACCUAUUUAGUUAGGUGUUUUAAAGAUUCAAGAAGUCAUGCACAAGGUACCAUGUACAGCGAGAUUCUUAGUUUACGCGCUCUUCAUGUACCGCAGUAGAAAACAUAGAAAGAAUGAAGGCAAUAAAAUCACAGUAAAACAGUGUAUAUCAUUAUAAAGGUACAAAUAAUAAAAGAAAUAAUAGCUAAAAUACACUGGUGUUGAAAUGAAGUGCGGGAUGACGUUACGGAAGAAGAAGAGACUGGUAUAAAUAACCGGUCACAAUAUAUGCAUUUAAUUAAAAAAAUUUAUAAAUAUGCACAGUGAGGUCACUCUCGGUCAUAUUUACAUCAGGUAGUCUGCUGAAUAACAGUAUUUACACGAGGACAUGGGGUAUAGGGGUCCAUGCACCUAUGUCCUAGAAAGAUUUAGUUAAAUAAAACAUUUCUCUUCCCAAAUAUGCACUUACUGUAGUUUUUGUAAAAUUGUAUAAUUAAUAAUUGAUUAUAAUUAAGCUUUUGAUAAAAACCCUCAUUAAUUUACCUGAACAGUCGAUUAGAAAUGACUCUAAACAUUAUAAAAACUUUGUUAGUAAAUGAUCGCGAUCUUCACCGCUGUAUCAUCAUUAAAAAGACCCCAAUUAAUGAACCUGGAAAUUUUUUCUUGUCUAUUGCACGAAAUCUCGAUCCAGCUGAUCACUCGAUGACUCAAUCGUCUUUCACGUCACCGUCUGAAUAAAACAUUUGAACAUUGUGUGCCUGA